GCUGCUGUAGCUCAGUGGUAGAGCACGUCCUUGGUAAGGACGGGGUCAUGGGUCCAACUCCCAUCAGCAGCU
rnacentral:tRNA from 1 species